ACAGUCUCCAGCUGUGUGAAGGACAGUAGCAGGGCCUGUCCAGAGCCCCCAGGAAUGACGACCCACACGCCGUGCUGGAGCGGGACCAGCUCCCUGUCCAGGCCAGCCCGGGGGGCUCUGGCCUUGCUCGGGAGACGGCCCAAGGAAGAUGGAGCCAUUCUGAGGGGCUUUCUCAUUUUCCUGGUCCACCUGGGGAGGGAAAGCAUCUCCAAUCUGGGAAUUUCCAGGGAUGGCAAAGAUGAACGUGAGGAACAUUCCAGCUGGAAGUCCAUGCCCGCCGGAAUCCCUGGCUGGUCUCUCAGAAUUGGUGGAUGGAGGGACUUCAGGAAAAAUAAUCCAACAAACUAAGAUCUGGGAAGAUGAUGCCAUUUUGAAAUGGACAUUGUCAAAAUACCCCUAGAUCUCAAACAAGCAGUGUGAACCAAGAUUUGGCUAUAGGGAAUGCUGCAGAAAAACAUCUGGAAAAAAAAAAAAGAAAAACGUGGCUUGUGCCAGUUCUCCGAGGAGCAAGGUCCUCGGUAUCAAGGAGGACCACUCGGAUUUCAUUCACAGGUCACCUCAUCCACGUGCCUGCAGGAGCUCCUGAAAGACCCACAGCCUCCCGGAGUUUAGAACCACCUCCUUCAGUGCCGGUCUCCUCGGGUUCCAGCCUCAGAACCAGGCACCGCUCCUCCAUUGUCACUGCGGUCAACCAUUUUCAAAGGGGUCUGUCCCCUCUCUUGGUGUGCGCCAUCUCACACAAGAUUAGGCCAGAGGACAGGAGGCUCGGGGUGUUACUUCUGCUCCUUCUAAUCACGGGCCUCCCGGAGCCCAGCACAGAGCAGACGGCUCGUAAAUACUUGUUGGAGUAGGAACACACGCACUUGCAGGUUUUCUGCGUUUCUCUGAUCCAUCCUCCAGGGUGAGGCUCCCCACCUCUGACGCCACAGGACCCUGGACAUGGGAUGUUUUGUCUCUGCUCUGACCUCGGCAAUAGCAGGAUUUGAAGAGCCUGAUGCGUCUUCUUCUUUCGCUCGCUUUUCCACCGCAGCUGGUGGUUCUGGAAUCGGCUCGGCUCUCAGGUGCCCAGAGCCGAGUGUCCUCUCGGAAGAAGCUGGCAUGGAGAAGGUCAGAGGACGGAGCCAGGACCCGGCGCAGAGGUGACGGGACGGGCAGUCCACAUCAGAAAGUCCUCAGCCGGGCAGCUGUCCUUUCAUCCAGGACUCAGCUGAACCCACAGAAGGGAGCCUUUGUUGGGGUUUUGCUUAAGCUCGAGUGGGCGAGCUUGAGACGGAACCACUUGAACCGUCUUGUACCAUACCAGGGCAAACCGACCUCAAAGGGGUGUUGAGCGGAGCUUAAUUAAUUAAUGUUUGCAACGCGCUCUGGGCUCCUGGAUGAAAGGGUGCUCAAAAAGUGCAACGUAUUAUUAUUAUUAAAAUGUAUUGGCAGCCGGGCCAGAUGCUGAAUGCAGAUAGGCCCUGAUAAAAGAUGGACCACAAAAGAAGAAAAAGUUAAUAAGGAUGUUUCAGGCAUGCUGCUAAUAGUCUCACCGAAAUUACUUCUCUCUCCUGUAAUGAUGAUUUUGAACAGAGAUAGGAUCUUAACUGCUCGCAGAACCAAAGGGUAUUUCCACGGCGGGCGUUUUGAGGACCAGAGACUGGUACAAAACAACUCCAGCCUUGCCCUGCCUCGCCUUGCAAAAUGCAAAACUGGCCAGGUCUGAGCUGAAGCAGUCCUGUGGAGAGGCGCGGAAGCCACUCGCCAAUUGAUCUGGCAUUUUCAGAUGAUUAAAAAAUAUUUCAUAGGCUAUUUGGGCCUCCAUGUGGUAAGCUGCAUGCUAGUGUUGAAAGGAGAGGUGAGAAAGUAGGAAACGAACGAAGAGUUAAAACUGUGCGCAGCAAGUUUGGAGGAAAAAAUGCCUGACUGCACCGUCACAGGCCUGGGUCCCGCGUUGCCAGCUACAGACAGAAGGGUCGCAGAGCAAGUCUGAACACGCACGUCUUUAUUAAAUCUUUCUUGAAACACAGAAGUCAACUGUCUCCUGAAAUAUUUUGGGUGUUUAAACGUGCCACAGCUGACAGAAAGUAAUUUUUUAAAGUCCUGGCUCACAAUUAUAGUGGGUAACGUGUAUCUGUUUCUGUUCCAGGAAGAAAAAACAAAAAGCUGGGCUAUGAUUCAAAGGCCUUCUCUGCGCCCAGGAAAGUUGCUUUAGUCUCUAAGUUUUGAGGGCACAAUUCCUGCCAUUUCGAUCCCAUGAAUUGUGGCAUUUUAAGGUCACCCAGUCGAUUUUUUAAAUGAAGGAAUGGGCCCAGAGAGAGAAGAUUCCUUAGUCAAGACUUUGUAUCCAGUCAGUGGUAGGACCAGGUUACAACCAGGAGCUUAUUGAGGGGUGCUCGUCAAUAAAAGUUUAAGCAAAUAAAAGUUUAAGGAAAGACUCCUCUACUCUGUUAAUUUUCCAAUGAAGGGGUGUCCGGCAGGAAUGGGGUGCGAGGCCUAUCCACCCGUCUGAGUGGUGGCGAGGUCGUCGUGUCGGGGGCUGCCAGAGUGCCC
ensembl:lncRNA